rnacentral:rRNA from 1 species
CGAAUGGGGCAAGCGUUGUUCGGAAUCACUGGGCUUAAAGCGUGCGUAGGCGGAUUUGCAAGUCAGAAGUGAAAUCCCAGGGCUCAACCCUGGAAUUGCUUUUGAAACUGCAAAUCUAGAAGAUUGAAGAGGUUAGCAGAAUUCCGAGUGUAGAGGUGAAAUUCGCAGAUAUUCGGAGGAACCUACCAAUGGCGCAGGCAGCUAACUGGGCAAUUUUUUGACGCUGAGGCACGAAAGCGUGGGGAGCAAACAGGAUUAGAUACCCUGGUAGUCCACGCCGUAAACGAUGUGUGCUCGUUGUCGGGACCUUAGGUUCCGGUAACAAAGCGAAAGUGUUUAGCACACCGCCUGGGGAGUACGGUCGCAAGAUUA